UUUAACUGAGCGUUCAGUUACUUGACGUAGACCCGAAACCGGGCGACCUACCCAUGAGCAGGAUGAAGCGAAAGUAAAAUUUCGUGGAGGUCCGAACCCACGAGCGUUGAAAAGCUCGGGGAUGACUUGUGGGUAGCGGUGAAAUUCCAAUCGAGCCCGGAGAUAGCUGGUUCUCCCCGAAAUAGCUUUAGGGCUAGCCUCAAGGUGAGAGAUACGGAGGUAGAGCACUGAAUGUCCUAGGGGGUAUUGCACCUACCGAAGACUAUCAAACUCCGAAUGCCGUCAUCUUAUACUUGGGAGUCAGACUGUGGGUGAUAAGAUUCAUAGUCGAAAGGGCAACAGCCCAGAUCGUCAGCUAAGGUCCCUAAAUGUAAGUUAAGUGGUAAAGGAUGUGGGAUUGCACAGACAACCAGGAUGUUGGCUUAGAAGCAGCCACUCAUUCAAAGAGUGCGUAAUAGCUCACUGGUCGAGUGAUCCUGCGCCGAAGAUUUCCGGGGCUAAAACUUACUACCGAAGCUACGGCAUCAGUAAUGAUGGGUAGGGGAGCUUCCCAUACGGGUUGAAGCAUGACCGUAAGGACAUGUGGACAGUAUGGGAGUGAGAAUGUUGGCAUGAGUAGCGAGAUGUGGGUGAGAAUCCCACAGGCCGUAAACCCAAGGUUUCCAGGGGAAGGUUCGUCCGCCCUGGGUUAGUCGGGACCUAAGCUGAGGCCGAAAGGCGUAGGUGAUGGACAACAGGUUGAU
rnacentral:rRNA from 1 species